UUGAGACCAUAACAUACCUUGGCAGACUGCGUAAGAGAAAAUCUUUUAUAUUACAACAACAAAACUCAUAGCCUGUCUUAAAUUUGGUGUGCAGUUGAACAAACUCUCUUCCCCUCCCUUUGGUUUAACUGUCAAAUGAGAAACAUUUUUCACCGUGAAUGACAUCAAGAAAUCUGCGCCGUGUACUGGGCUUCCUUGCCUUAUGGAUUGAUAUUUUGUAAAUAUAGUUGUAAUAUGGCAAAAAUAAUAAUAAACUAAACUAAACAGAUUAGAAUGAAUGUUGAUUCUCAUGUGGUAUGUUGCUUUACUCUCCAGGGAGACUGUGGAGACAAAGAUCGCGAGGAAGCGCUUCAGACGCUGUUCAGUGUUAUCUUCUCUAUGAUACGAUUAUUGGCGUCAUUCACUCCAUUUCUGACAGAGCACACUUACCAGUCCUUACGGUCUUACAUACCAGAAAGUAUGAAGUCUGUAGAAACAGAGAGUAUUCAUUACCUGAUGAUCCCACUGGCCAGGUAUUUACGGCUGUGUUUUUGCUGUUACUUGUAAUAUUCUCUGUAGUUUCACCUUGAUGAGGGCCGCGUCUGAAGUCAGUAUGUGACUGUUAUGAUCAACAAAUGCAGUGAAGAUGAAUUGCAGCUCAUGAGUUUGAAUUACCACACCCAGGGGAAGACAUCUUGAAUUUAUGCCGGGCCAUAUAUACCUCCAUUGUGCAGCUACAGUAACUUCUUUAAUGCUUUAUGACAACCCGGCUACUUAAUAUUAGGAUGCAGAAAUGUCUGUAUAUUGCACACAAUUACAUGGUUCACUUGUUUGACCUUUCUGCCUUGUUUCUGUUAUUACUGGGUUUGAUUCUCAUACUUGACAUACAUUUAUGACAAACAGCCACGUUCUGUAAUAGUUUUUUUUUGUCUUUUCCUUUAAAUCGCUAACUUAAUUUUUUGUAUGUGUUAAGGGAAAAUCUGAUUCACAAAGAGAUCGAGAGGAGAGUAGCUCUGAUGCAAACUGUAAUUGAACUUGGGCGAGUUGUGAGAGAUAGAAAAACUCUGCCAUUGAAGUAUCCCCUCCCUGAGCUGGUUGUUAUUCACCAGCAGCAACAGAGCCUGGAUGAUGUGCAAUCUCUUGAAACCUACAUCAAGCAGGUACAGACUGAAUUACGGACGCUUUGGUUUUUACUACGUUUACUUCAGAUGUAGAAAAGAUUGUUUUAAUUUGCUUUUUGUUAUGAAUCUCAGUCAAUCAAGGUGAAAAAGUUAAGGUAAUUCCUCUGAAAUAAACGUGACAAUAGAUUU